rnacentral:lncRNA from 1 species
CGGCCGAUUCGCUCAACGGCUCACAGUCACCUCUGUGUACACUAGCCCUGGCAGGAUAGCUAUCAACUGCCCAGGACCCGAAUUCGUCUCAUCUCAUCAGUAGAGGGUAACAUACAAGCUCAACAUCAAAAAUUGGCAAGUCAAACAGUUCUCAAACAUCAUUUAUCUCAAAUAAUUUGAUAAGCUCAUAACAUCAUCAUAUCAUCAAAUCAUUUUAGAAAGCUCGGUUAAUAUAUGUAUACUCAAAAUAUUGCCCACCUGAAGACCUUACUCAAAA